rnacentral:rRNA from 1 species
AGCGAACGCUGGCGGCAGGCUUAACACAUGCAAGUCGAACGCAUCCUUCGGGGUGAGUGGCAGACGGGUGAGUAACACGUGGGAACGUACCCUUCGAUCUGGGAUAACUUCGGGAAACUGGAGCUAAUACCGGAUACGCCCUUUUGGGGAAAGGUUUACUGUCGAAGGAUCGGCCCGCGUCUGAUUAGCUAGUUGGUGGGGUAACGGCCUACCAAGGCGACGAUCAGUAGCUGGUCUGAGAGGAUGAUCAGCCACACUGGGACUGAGACACGGCCCAGACUCCUACGGGAGGCAGCAGUGGGGAAUAUUGGACAAUGGGCGCAAGCCUGAUCCAGCCAUGCCGCGUGAGUGAUGAAGGCCUUUGGGUUGUAAAGCUCUUUUGUCCGGGACGAUAAUGACGGUACCGGAAGAAUAAGCCCCGGCUAACUUCGUG